UACAGAGGUCCCAAGCGUUGUUCGGAUUCAUUGGGCGUAAAGGGUGCGUAGGUGGCGCUGUAAGUCGGGUGUGAAAUUUCGGAGCUUAACUCCGAAACUGCAUUCGAUACUGCGGUGCUCGAGGACUGGAGAGGAGACUGGAAUUCAUGGUGUAGCAGUGAAAUUCGUAGAUAUUAGGAAGAACACCAGUGGCGAAGGCGGCUCACUGGCCCGGUACUGACGCUGAGGCGCGAAAGCGUGGGAGCAAACAGG
rnacentral:rRNA from 1 species